UAAGUUUUACUCUCCCCACACACCCCAUAGUCCUACAACCUAGGGUUCCUCUGUUCUUCUUCUGCUUCUUCAUCUUCUUCCAACCCAACAACACCUCAGAAAAUUCACAUUCCCCCAAACACCCUUCUUCCUCGCGAUCCCCAUGGCGAAAACGAGGCCAGGAAGAAAGGACUUGGACUCCUACACCAUAAGAGGAACCAACAAGAUCGUGCGAGCUGGUGACUGCGUUUUGAUGCGGCCCCAGGACACUACGAAGCCUCCUUACGUGGCGCGCGUGGAGAAGAUCGAGCAGGACAACAGGAACAACGUGAAGGUGCGUGUGAGGUGGUACUAUAGGCCUGAAGAGUCGAUUGGGGGUCGAAGGCAGUUUCAUGGGGCUAAGGAACUUUUUCUGUCUGACCACUAUGAUGUGCAGAGUGCUCACACCAUUGAAGGGAAGUGUGUAGUGCACUCUUUCAAGAACUACACUAAGCUUGAGAAUGUGGGUGCUGAGGAUUACUAUUGUAGAUUUGAGUACAAGGCUGCUACUGGGGCUUUCACCCCUGACCGUGUUGCUGUGUAUUGCAAGUGUGAGAUGCCUUAUAACCCGGAUGACCUUAUGGUACAAUGUGAAGGGUGCAAGGACUGGUAUCAUCCUGCCUGUGUGGGCAUGACUAUUGAAGAAGCAAAGAAACUAGACCAUUUUGUAUGUUCCGAAUGUUCAUCUGAUGAUGAUAUGAAAAAACCCCAUCCUACAUUUUCUACAUCACCGGGACCUGAUGGCAAGUUUCCCUUUUGCGAAGACACGGGGAGGGGAAUGGGGACACAUUGCUGAGGAAGGGAUGGCUGGUUUAACAUAUGGUGUAGCAUUCAGAGUUUGAUGGAAAAAUUUAUAUUUUUUCUUGUUUUAAAAAGUUACCCUUUAUGCAGCUUGUUUUUCACCGGUGGAGCCGAAACGGCGGAAGAGAUGACGAUAGGGCGGUAGUAACCUAUGAGGCGUGAGUGACUCUUGCUGAAUUUGGGUGGCUCUAUGUAGCUUUUGUGUGAUGUACAGCUUCUUCAAGAGGCUAUAAACAUUUUAUGUAUUUGACUCAGCUUAUGUAUGUAUUCAGUCUUAGAUUCUAUGACACAUUCAUCUCUUUUCCCCUUCUCCACCAAGACAACUCCAAUCCAAGUGUUAAUUCUUGAGAUGAAAUCAAACCUUUAAAACCAA